UACGGAGGGAGCUAGCGUUGUUCGGAAUUACUGGGCGUAAAGCGCACGUAGGCGGCUAUUCAAGUCGGGGGUGAAGGCCCGGGGCUCAACCCCGGAACUGCCCUCGAAAACUAGAUAGCUAGAAUCUUGGAGAGGCGAGUGGAAUUCCGAGUGUAGAGGUGAAAUUCGUAGAUAUUCGGAAGAACACCAGUGGCGAAGGCGACUCGCUGGACAAGUAUUGACGCUGAGGUGCGAAAGCGUGGGGAGCAAACAGG
rnacentral:rRNA from 1 species